AUUGAACGCUGGCGGCAUGCUUUACACAUGCAAGUCGAACGGUAACAGGCCGCAAGGUGCUGACGAGUGGCGAACGGGUGAGUAAUGCAUCGGAACGUGCCCAGUCGUGGGGGAUAACGCAGCGAAAGCUGCGCUAAUACCGCAUACGAUCUAUGGAUGAAAGCGGGGGACCGUAAGGCCUCGCGCGAUUGGAGCGGCCGAUGUCAGAUUAGGUAGUUGGUGGGGUAAAGGCUCAACAAGCCAAGGAUCUGUAGCUGGUCUGAGAGGACGACCAACACAGCGGGGACUAGGACACGGCCCAGACGCCUACGGGAGGCAGCAGGGGGGAAUUUUGGACAAUGGGCGCAAGCCUGAUCCAGCAAUGCCGCGUGCAGGAAGAAGGCCUUCGGGUUGUAAACUGCUUUUGUACGGAACGAAAAGCCCUGGGUUAAUACCCUGGGGUCAUGACGGUACCGUAAGAAUAAGCACCGGCUAACUACGUGCCAGCCGCCGCCGUAAAAC
rnacentral:rRNA from 1 species